AAGUUUGGAACAGAAAAAAUUAGAGGGUAAAGAUAAAUAUAUAAAUAUAUGUGAAAAUUACAAAUAAUUUGAAUUAUGCUGCCUCAGUUUGUACCAUGUGCUACAACAGAUUAGAAUACCGCUAUAGAAGGGGGCACUUCGAAGCUCAAAUAGCCGUCAGGUAUCUUUGUGUGAGUCAGCUUGCAGGAGAUUUACAAAUCCUUUUGCAGAUUCCUUAAGAUUGAAGGAAGACAAGGAAAACAUUAAAAAGAUGAUGAGAGAAAAAUUAUGGACUAUGAAGUGAAGUAGGCAAAUGAACGAGUACUAGAUUCAGCAUUUGAACAGUAGCAUAAUCUAUAAUUCGAAAUGAAACUACACGCAUAGAGUUAGGUACCAUAUGGUAGGAAAGACCGGAGGCGGAGGAAAGAACCGUCGUGCUUUAGAUAGACCUUUUGCAGCAGCAUGCACCUGUCAAAUGGGUAAUUGAGUAUCCUCACAUGAUCAUCUAAAAAAUCCACAUAAUGAGCAAAUGUGGCAGUUCUACUAGAAAUAUCAACAGCAACGGCAACACUAGAUUCAACAAAUACCGCACUAAAAAUCUAAGGAUGAAACGGAAGGGCAUAUCAAGAACACCAAAGUUUUUGAAAGAUAGACCGUGUAAGCAGAUUCAAUAUCCUUGUCCGGAAAAACAUGUAAUUCAAUAUACUGAGAAAAGAAUAAUAAUAAUAUGGGCGAUCAAUUGUUAUAGUUGCUAAUCAAUGUUCAAUGUUGAAAUAACAGGCAUAAAAAAUACUUGGACUAUAAGCCAGCAAGCAGCACUCUUGGUCUCUUGCAUUGGUCAAUGCUCAUGUACAUUCUUCCUAAGAUAUAAAUUUCAGGUUAAAUUCAAGACCAUGUUAGCACGGAUUUCAGCGGUCAGUAUGCUUGCAACUAACAAGCAGGAUGAUUUUCAACCACAUACUCCAAAGUAGCUAACUGAUUUUGCGGAUUGUGAUCUGGGAGGAAGCCCAUCAGAUCUCGAACCCAACAGGGCAUUUGGAUCCAGGCAUCUGACGAACUGGGCAGAAUUUGGAUACAAGAAGAGACCGCUCGUAAUAAAUCUUGGUCCAAACGUGAGAUUUAUAGCACGGGGAAAAACAGCGAUUUGAUUUACCAGCAGAUCGGAACCGCGCGCGGCAUGGGGAGGCGCUUUUCUUCCCCUGUUCGGCAUCGCCGGUAAACCUAGGAAACGGCGGUCGCCAAAUCAGUAAAGAAUGAACAGCGAGACG
rnacentral:lncRNA from 1 species